rnacentral:rRNA from 1 species
GAUGAACGCUGGCGGCGUGCCUAAUACAUGCAAGUCGAGCGAACGGACGAGAAGCUUGCUUCUCUGAUGUUAGCGGCGGACGGGUGAGUAACACGUGGAUAACCUACCUAUAAGACUGGGAUAACUUCGGGAAACCGGAGCUAAUACCGGAUAAUAUUUUGAACCGCAUGGUUCAAAAGUGAAAGACGGUCUUGCUGUCACUUAUAGAUGGAUCCGCGCUGCAUUAGCUAGUUGGUAAGGUAACGGCUUACCAAGGCAACGAUGCAUAGCCGACCUGAGAGGGUGAUCGGCCACACUGGAACUGAGACACGGUCCAGACUCCUACGGGAGGCAGCAGUAGGGAAUCUUCCGCAAUGGGCGAAAGCCUGACGGAGCAACGCCGCGUGAGUGAUGAAGGUCUUCGGAUCGUAAAGCUCUGUUAGUAGGGAAGAACAUAUGUGUAAGUAACUGUGCACAUCUUGACGGUACCUAAUCAGAAAGCCACGGCUAACUACGUG